UACGGAGGGUACAAGCGUUAAUCGGAAUUACUGGGCGUAAAGCGCACGCAGGCGGUUAAUUAAGACAGAUGUGAAAACCCCGGGCUUAACCUGGGAACUGCAUUUGAGACUGGUUAGCUAGAGUAUGGUAGAGGGGGGUAGAAUUCCACGUGUAGCGGUGAAAUGCGUAGAGAUGUGGAGGAAUACCGGUGGCGAAGGCGGCCCCCUGGACAAAGACUGACGCUCAGGUACGAAAGCGUGGGGAGCAAACAGG
rnacentral:rRNA from 1 species